rnacentral:tRNA from 1 species
GCCCGAGUGGUGGAAUGGUAGACACGCUACGUUCAGGUCGUAGUGAGCGCAAGCUCGUGGAGGUUCAACUCCUCUCUCGGGCACCA